CAGCCUGUCGAUCGCUGGCUUCGGCAGUCGAAACGUUGCGGCGUCCACCGGCUUCGCAAGUUCGCAUCGCAUGGCAGACUUCGCUGUGGCCGCCGCCUCCCGGCCGCCCGCCCUGCGUCCGGCGACUGCCGAUUGGUGAUCGGCUGAUCGCCUGCUACUGCACUCGUGAGCAAGCCGCCAAGCGAGCAACGUUUUGCAAUUGGUGUUAUUAGAAUGUUACCUAAGAAGCAUUUGUCGGGAUCUCAGAAAAGGAAAAAAAGAAAAAAAGAUGAACGGCUCGUUGAAUCACAAAAGGGUGCUUUGCACAAGUAUAGAAAUGAAGGCCAGCAGCACUAAGUGAUGCUCAAUCUUUAGUCAGUACACUUGAGAAUUUUGAGUUUAUACUUGGUAUGGUUAUUUGGCAUGAUAUUUUAUUUUCUAUAAAUAUGGUGAGCAAAAAAUUGCAGUCUAAGAGCAUUUGUAUGGAUGCUACUCUCAAACAAAUUGAAGGGAUCAUCUCAUAUUUUCAAAAGUAUAGAAAUGAAGGCUUCCACUCUA